UUGGAGGGCAAGUCUGGUGCCAGCAGCCGCGGUAAUUCCAGCUCCAAUAGCGUAUAUUAAAGUUGUUGCAGUUAAAAAGCUCGUAGUUGAAUUUCGGGGUUAGUAGGUUGGUCAUGCCUCUGGCAUGUACUGGUCUCACUGAUUCCUCCUUCCUGAUGAGCCGUAAUGCCAUUAAUUUGGUGUUGCGGGGAAUUUGGACUGUUACUUUGAAAAAAUUAGAGUGUUUAAAGCAAGCUAACGCUUGAAUACAUUAGCAUGGAAUAAUGAAAUAGGACGUUCGAUCCUAUUUUGUUGGUUUCUAGGAUUGACGUAAUGAUUAAUAGGGAUAGUUGGGGGCAUUAGUAUUCAAUUGUCAGAGGUGAAAUUCUUGGAUUUAUUGAAGACUAACUACUGCGAAAGCAUUUGCCAAGGAUGUUUUCAUUAAUCAAGAACGAAAGUUAGGGGAUCGAAGACGAUCAGAUACCGUCGUAGUCUUAACCAUAAACUAUGCCGACUAGGGAUCGGAUGAUGUUAAUUUUUUAAUGACUCAUUCGGCGCCUUACGGGAAAC
rnacentral:rRNA from 1 species